AACGAACGCUGGCGGCAGGCUUAACACAUGCAAGUCGAACGCCCCGCCAGGGGAGUGGCAGACGGGUGAGUAACGCGUGGGAACAUACCCUUUUCUACGGAAUAGCUCUGGGAAACUGGAAUUAAUACCGUAUACGCCCUACGGGGGAAAGAUUUAUCGGGGAAGGAUUGGCCCGCGUUGGAUUAGCUAGUUGGUGGGGUAAAGGCCUACCAAGGCGACGAUCCAUAGCUGGUCUGAGAGGAUGAUCAGCCACAUUGGGACUGAGACACGGCCCAAACUCCUACGGGAGGCAGCAGUGGGGAAUAUUGGACAAUGGGCGCAAGCCUGAUCCAGCCAUGCCGCGUGAGUGAUGAAGGCCUUAGGGUUGUAAAGCUCUUUCACUGAUGAAGAUAAUGACGGUAGUCGGAGAAGAAGCCCCGGCUAACUUCGUG
rnacentral:rRNA from 1 species